CAGUACUUGUUGUCGACUCCAGUGUUCGAAUUUUAGGCUUUUUUUGUGGUGUAAUGAUAAUUUGAGAGGCACUAUCAAAGGGAGGCAUGUGAAGAGGCUUUUAACUUUUAUUAACUACGGUUGUAAGCUGUGAAAAGCACAAAUUUGAAAACAAUGAAUAAACAAUGGAGAAAUGUGCUUCAAUUAUGGUUUAUAAAUGUAUCAGUCAAGUGAUUCAGUAUUAAAGUGACCACCACCACCCACCCACCCACCCACCACCAUGUAGUGGGUGUAUAGGGUUCGGUCCAGCAGUCUGCCCUGGUGCUCUGUGAGGUGAAGAGCUGCGUGUCCUGCUACUCUAAUCCUGCCGGUGUGGUGACUGUGACCUGCCCUGACCUGCCUGUGACCUGCCCUGACCUGCCUGUGACCUGCUAUUAACCUGCUUUUGACCUGCCUUGACUUCCUCUGACACACAUGGUGAACCGAGACCUUCCGAGACCUUCCAAGACCUUCCGAGACCUUCCGAGACCUUCCAAGACCUUCCAAAAUCUGCCGUGACCCACAGAUGAAGAUGUAUAGGUGAUAAACGGAGGCCGAUUUAAGAAGUGCAAUGAUGCGACACACAGACAGACAGACAGAUAGGUGUGGGAUGAGUGCUGGCAUACUGAAGGUCAAGAGGUCAAGAGUCACGUGUUGAGUCGUAUGGGUCACCAGACAGGUCACCCACCUAACCCCACUCGGCCUGUCAGUUCAGCGGCAACACUCAUGGAAGAAUUUGCCGCAAGCUGUGCCUCUUUGUGCUUGUUAUCCGAACCUUGUGUCUAAUAUUGCCUUAAUGUUGUGUGUGUGUGUGUGUGUGUGUGUGUGUGUGAGAGAGAGAGAGAGAGAGAGAGAGAGAGAGAUUUUGUUACUCGUCAUGUCCCCUGUACCAACUGAAGACCUCCACCAGACCCCCUCUUAGUCACCCUUGUUGUGUCCCCUGUACCACUUGAAGACCUCCACCAGACCCCCUCUUAGUCACCCUUGUUGUGUCCCCUGUACCACUUGAAGACCUCCACCAGACCCCCUCUUAGUCACCCUUGUUGUGUCCCCUGUACCACUUGAAGACCUCCACCUGACCCCCUCUUAGUCACCCUUCUGAGGUACAAUAGUGUCCAGUCAUCCUUCCUAUGUCAUCCUUGUGUAAUCAGGAAUAAUUAUCAGCAUUUGUACUCACUCCUGUCUGUCUGUCUGUCUGUCUGUCUGUCUGUCUGUCUGUCUGUCUGUCUGUCUGCCUACCAGUUAAAAUGAUCAAUGUAGUCAGUUAUACUUGUGAAUACUGUGUGUGUGUGUGUGUACGUGUGCGUGUAUAUGAAUUAAUGUUUAUCGUGAAGUAUCUGCCUGCCUGCUUGCAAAUUAAUUAUCAAUAUAGUUACUGUUUGUGUGUUUUUGUGUGUUAUAAAGCAAUCUUGUAGUGUAUUAUUGAUUGUAUUCCACAUGUAUGGGCUGGCCAGACGUGAUGUACUGUGACAGCCAGAACCUUGACAUAUACUGCUUGAUAAAAUGAAAAUAAGCAAAAAUACACGAAUAAAGUACAAAUUUUGAGCCGAACUAAUGAGGACUUUCUCUCGUCUUUUUCAGAGGUGCGUACAUCUACGAGUCACUCCAACCAACCUCUUAUAUCCUACCUUAUUCUGAUAUAUUAGGUUAGAUUCAGUUAGGUUACUUAUAUUGGGGGCCUGUCUUCCUUACUAACCUAACCUAACCUAACCCAUUCCUUCCUUCUCGUCAAGCUGUCGGUGGGAGAAGCCCCAGGACUCUCAAGCGUGGGUUGAGUCACAACUGCGGGUGUGCUAGCUCACCUUGAAGUCCGGCGGGGCUCACGUGUUGCAGUGUUGCAGUGUUGCAGUGUUGCAGAUCUUCACCCAAACAAGGGGAGUAUUGUUUUUUUGUGUUUUGUAUAUAUAUAUAUUUUUGUGGGGGGGAGGGGGUCUGGGGAUAGCUAUCUGCGGUGUGCGUCUGUGCGUGCGUCUGUGUGUGCGUCUGUGUGUGCAUCUGUGCGUGUGCGUCUGUGCGUGUGCGUCUGUGCGUGUGCGUCUGUGUGCGUGCAUCUGUGUGUAUGUCUUUUUUUUGGUUGUGUGUGUGUGAAUUUUUUUUUUGGUAUAAAUAUAUAGGUGGCAGGCCAUAGUGUUAGGAUAUUUGACACAGAUUAAUAUAGAAGAUGGUUUAGGUUAGUUAAGGGUUAAGUGAGGCAUAGAGAGAGAGAGAGAGAGAGAGGGGAAGACAGAUAUUAAUAGGAUUAGCUUAUAUUUUUUUAGGGUUUUAAGUAAGUAUCUAGGUGGCAGGUCAGAAUGAUAUAAUAUUUAACACAGAUUAAUAUAGAAGAUGGUUUUAAGUUAGUAUAUAUCAAAGGGUUAAGUAAGGCAUAGAGAGAGAGAGAGAUAGGGUUAUAGUAAUAGGAUGACAGGAGUAUAUAUGAAAGGGUUAAGUGAGGCAUAGAGAGAGAGAGAAAGGGUUAUUAAUAGGAUGACAGGAGUAUAUAUCAAAGGGUUAAGUGAGGCAUAGAGAGAGAGAGAGAUAGGGUUAUUAAUAGGAUGACAGGAGUAUAUAUCAAAGAGUUAAGUGAGGCAUAGAGAGAGAGAAAGAAAGGGUUAUUAAUAGGAUGACAGGAGUAUAUACCAAAGGGUUAAGUGAGGCAUAGAGAGAGAGAGAGAAAGGGUUAUUAAUAGGAUGACAGGAGUAUAUACCAAAGGGUUAAGUGAGGCAUAGAGAGAGAGAGAGAAAGGGUUAUUAAUAGGAUGACAGGAGUAUAUAUGAAAGGGUUAAGUGAGGCAUAGAAAGGGUUAUUAAUAGGAUUAGGUUGACGGGGUGUAUGAAUGUUUAACUCAGAUUAUAUUGAAUGUUUACUUCUUUAUAAUCUGAGUUUGUAUGGCAUGUUGAGUAUUAGUAUGUUAUUUUUGUAGUGGUGGUAGUGGUGGUGGGACGUAUG